GUGUAUAGUUCAGUAACGCGAUUCGAAUAGCUUCUUAAUUAUUAGUAUGCAAAGUCUCUGUUGUGCGAUUUAUUAACUUGUUGUAAAAUCGAUUACGAUUACCAAUAAGCCUGAUAAGCUUCACUGAUUUAUCGCCUCUAAAUUCGAAGCGACAGCCAUCCCGUGUAUCCUGGGAGGCGGCCAGUAACUGCGUGGUCGACUCAGUGGUGGGGUAGUGUGCAGUAUUCAAGAGUAUUCUUGCGCUUGCAGCGACUCGUCGUGUAGUGUGUCAGUAUUUGGUGGUGUGUGACGAACUGGUACAAAUUUGUGCGGAGUAUUUCCUACAUAAAGCGAGAAAAUAGCGUUAUUGGACCAAGUAGUAGCGGGAUAGCGGGACGGACGGAAGCUAUGACAAUCACCACCACGGUCCGAACGUCCCACACCACGCUUGAUGACGCCGCUCCCUCUCACUCUCCUCUGCGACCGUGCCGCUGCUCUUUGCUGCGUAGUUUCAUUAUAAUGGCCAAAUACCUUGUACUCCAUGGCACUUAACUUUGAUUUUUAUGAUUGUGUAAUUCACUUUCAAUCUACUUUCCUAGUCUUUAUACUCCAUCCCCAGUGCCUCGGUCAUAACCACAACUAAUUGACUUCACGAAUGUGUCAUGUGAACUAUUUACUUUACUUAGACCUAACAUAGACAAGAAAGUGAUAAACUAUAGUGUGGCUACUAAGUGAAGGAGAGGGAAGUCCAGCCAGCUAAAGGAAGACAUCUGGUCGUCAGGGCCACCCGGGUCGUGAGGGAGAUCUCGAUGAAAGACGCCAGGUGUGCAGGGGGCGUCGGGAAAGAUCUCCCAGUGGUGUUUGGUUGCUUGGAAGAGGGAGUCCAGUGUUCAUCUCUUUGG